rnacentral:tRNA from 1 species
GCAAAGAGUUAAUGUACUUGAUUGCUAAUCAAAAAGUUUGGUGGUUCAAGUCCACC